AAGUAGCUUGCUACUGGACCUAGCGGCGGACGGGUGAGUAAUGCUUAGGAAUCUGCCUAUUAGUGGGGGACAACGUUCCGAAAGGGACGCUAAUACCGCAUACGUCCUACGGGAGAAAGCAGGGGAUCUUCGGACCUUGCGCUAAUAGAUGAGCCUAAGUCGGAUUAGCUAGUUGGUGGGGUAAAGGCCUACCAAGGCGACGAUCUGUAGCGGGUCUGAGAGGAUGAUCCGCCACACUGGGACUGAGACACGGCCCAGACUCCUACGGGAGGCAGCAGUGGGGAAUAUUGGACAAUGGGGGGAACCCUGAUCCAGCCAUGCCGCGUGUGUGAAGAAGGCCUUUUGGUUGUAAAGCACUUUAAGCGAGGAGGAGGCUACCGAGAUUAAUACUCUUGGAUAGUGGACGUUACUCGCAGAAUAAGCACCGGCUAACUCUGUGCCAGCAGCCGCGGUAAUACAGAGGGUGCAAGCGUUAAUCGGAUUUACUGGGCGUAAAGCGCGCGUAGGUGGCCAAUUAAGUCAAAUGUGAAAUCCCCGAGCUUAACUUGGGAAUUGCAUUCGAUACUGGUUGGCUAGAGUAUGGGAGAGGAUGGUAGAAUUCCAGGUGUAGCGGUGAAAUGCGUAGAGAUCUGGAGGAAUACCGAUGGCGAAGGCAGCCAUCUGGCCUAAUACUGACACUGAGGUGCGAAAGCAUGGGGAGCAAACAGGAUUAGAUACCCUGGUAGUCCAUGCCGUAAACGAUGUCUACUAGCCGUUGGGGCCUUUGAGGCUUUAGUGGCGCAGCUAACGCGAUAAGUAGACCGCCUGGGGGGUACGGUCGCAAGACUAAAACUCAAAUGAAUUGACGGGGGCCCGCACAAGCGGUGGAGCAUGUGGUUUAAUUCGAUGCAACGCGAAGAACCUUACCUGUCUUGACAUAGU
rnacentral:rRNA from 1 species